GACGAACGCAGGCGGCGUGCUUAACACAUGCAAGUCGAACGAAGAGCGAUGGAAGCUUGCUUCUAUCAAUCUUAGUGGCGAACGGGUGAGUAACGCGUAAUCAACCUGCCCUUCAGAGGGGGACAACAGUUGGAAACGACUGCUAAUACCGCAUACGAUCUAAUCUCGGCAUCGAGGAUGGAUGAAAGGUGGCCUCUAUGUAUAAGCUAUCACUGAAGGAGGGGAUUGCGUCUGAUUAGCUAGUUGGAGGGGUAACGGCCCACCAAGGCGAUGAUCAGUAGCCGGUCUGAGAGGAUGAACGGCCACAUUGGGACUGAGACACGGCCCAGACUCCUACGGGAGGCAGCAGUGGGGAAUCUUCCGCAAUGGACGAAAGUCUGACGGAGCAACGCCGCGUGAGUGAUGACGGCCUUCGGGUUGUAAAGCUCUGUUAAUCGGGACGAAAGGCCUUCUUGCGAAUAGUAGAAGGAUG
rnacentral:rRNA from 1 species